rnacentral:rRNA from 1 species
GAUGAACGCUGGCGGCGUGCCUAAUACAUGCAAGUCGAGCGAACAGAUGAGGAGCUUGCUCCUCUGACGUUAGCGGCGGACGGGUGAGUAACACGUGGAUAACCUACCUAUAAGACUGGGAUAACUUCGGGAAACCGGAGCUAAUACCGGAUAAUAUAUUGAACCGCAUGGUUCAAUAGUGAAAGACGGUUUUGCUGUCACUUAUAGAUGGAUCCGCGCCGCAUUAGCUAGUUGGUAAGGUAACGGCUUACCAAGGCGACGAUGCGUAGCCGACCUGAGAGGGUGAUCGGCCACACUGGAACUGAGACACGGUCCAGACUCCUACGGGAGGCAGCAGUAGGGAAUCUUCCGCAAUGGGCGAAAGCUUGACGGAGCAACGCCGCGUGAGUGAUGAAGGUCUUCGGAUCGCAAAACUCUGUUAUUAGGGAAGAACAAAUGUGUAAGUAACUAUGCACGUCUUGACGGUACCUAAUCAGAAAGCCACGGCUAACUACGUG